rnacentral:pre_miRNA from 1 species
CGAAGGUGCAUUGUAGUCGCAUUGUCUGUUCCAAUUGCUUCAGGCAAUACAACUUCAGUGCAAGCUCU